rnacentral:rRNA from 1 species
CAGCCGUAAACUAUGCGCGUUAGGUGUCAGGCAUGGCGCGACCGUGUCUGGUGCCGCAGGGAAGCCGUGAAGCGAGCCACCUGGGAAGUACGGCCGCAAGGCUGAAACUUAAAGGAAUUGGCGGGGGAGCACAACAACGGGUGGAGCCUGCGGUUUAAUUGGACUCAACGCCGGACAACUCACCGGGGACGACAGCAAUAUGUAGGCCAGGCUGAAGACUCUGCAUGACUAGCUGAGAGGUGGUGCAUGGCGUAGACGUCU